rnacentral:rRNA from 1 species
GUCCACGCCCUAAACGUUGAUUACUCGUUGUUGGCGAUAUACUGUCAGCGACUAAGCUAAAGCGUUAAGUAAUCCACCUGGGAAGUACGACCGCAAGGUUGAAACUCAAAGGAAUUGACGGGGGCCCCGCACAAGCGGAGGAGCAUGUGGUUUAAUUCGAUGAUACGCGAGGAACCUUACCUGGGCUUGAAAGUUAGUGACCGCCUCUGAAAGGAGGCUUCUCUUCGGAGCACAAAACUAGGUGCUGCAUGGCUGUCGU